rnacentral:rRNA from 1 species
CCUACGGGUGGCAGCAGUCGAGAAUUAUUCACAAUGGGGGAAACCCUGAUGGUGCGACGCCGCGUGGGGGAAUGAAGGUCUUCGGAUUGUAAACCCCUGUCAUGUGGGAGCAAAUUAAAAAGAUAGUACCACAAGAGGAAGAGACGGCUAGCUCUGUGCCAGCAGCCGCGGUACUACAGAGGUCUCAAGCGUUUUUCGGAAUCACUGGGCGUAAAGCGUGCGUAGGCGGUUUGGUAAGUCGUGUGUGAAAGGCGCGGGCUCAACCCGCGGACGGCACAUGAUACUGGGAGACUAGAGUAAUGGAGGGGGAACCGGAAUUCUCGGUGUAGCAGUGAAAUGCGUAGAGAUCGAGAGGAACACUCGUGGCGAAGGCGGGUUCCUGGACAUUAACUGACGCUGAGGCACGAAGGCGAGGGGAGCGAAAGGGAUUAGAUACCCGAGUAGUC